GACGAACGCUGGCGGCGUGCCUAAUACAUGCAAGUUGAGCGCUGAAGGUUGGUACUUGUACCAACUGGAUGAGCAGCGAACGGGUGAGUAACGCGUGGGGAAUCUGCCUUUGAGCGGGGGACAACAUUUGGAAACGAAUGCUAAUACCGCAUAAAAACUUUAAACACAAGUUUUAAGUUUGAAAGAUGCAAUUGCAUCACUCAAAGAUGAUCCCGCGUUGGAUUAGCUAGUUGGUGAGGUAAAGGCUCACCAAGGCGAUGAUACAUAGCCGACCUGAGAGGGUGAUCGGCCACUUUGGGACUGAGACACGGCCCAAACUCCCACGGGGAGCAGCAGUAGGGAAUCUUCGGCGAUGGACGAAAGUCUGACCGGGCAACGCCGCGUGAGUGAAGAAGGUUCUCGGAUCGUAAAACUCUGUUGGUAGAGGAGGACGUUGGUGGGAGUGGAAAGCUCAUCAAGUGACGGUAACUACCCAGAAAGGGAGGGCUAACUACGUG
rnacentral:rRNA from 1 species